rnacentral:rRNA from 1 species
GACGUAGGAAGCAAGCGUUGUCCGGAAUCACUGGGCGUAAAGCGCGUGUAGGCGGUAUGGCAAGUCUGCUGUGAAAGCUCUCGGCUUAACCGGGAGAGGUCGGUGGAAACUGCCACACUGGAGGACGGUAGAGGGGGGUGGAAUUCCCGGUGUAGUGGUGAAAUGCGUAGAGAUCGGGAGGAACACCUGUGGCGAAGGCGGCCCCCUGGGCCGGCCCUGACGCUGAGACGCGAAAGCGCGGGGAGCGAACGGG